rnacentral:rRNA from 1 species
AACGAACGCUGGCGGCAGGCCUAACACAUGCAAGUCGAGCGAACCCUUCGGGGUUAGCGGCGGACGGGUUAGUAACGCGUGGGAAUAUACCCUUUGGUACGGAAUAGCCUCGGGAAACUGAGAGUAAUACCGUAUGUGCCCUUCGGGGGAAAGAUUUAUCGCCAAAGGAUUAGCCCGCGUUGGAUUAGAUAGUUGGUGGGGUAAUGGCCUACCAAGUCUACGAUCCAUAGCUGGUUGAGAGGAUGAUCAGCAACACUGGGACUGAGACACGGCCCAGACUCCUACGGGAGGCAGCAGUGGGGAGUCUUAGACAAUGGGCGCAAGCCUGAUCUAGCCAUGCCGCGUGGACGAUGAAGGCCUUAGGGUUAGUAAAGUCCUUUCAGAUGGGAAGAUAAUGACGGUACCAUCAGAAGAAGCCCCGGCUAACUCCGUG